rnacentral:SRP_RNA from 1 species
GCCGGGCGUGGUGGUGCAUGCCUGUAAUCCCAGCUACUUCAGGAGGCUGAGGCAGGAGAAUCGCUUGAGCCCGGGAGACAGAGGUUGCAGUGAUCCUAAGAUCAUGCCACUACACUUCAUCCUGGGCAACACAGCAAGACUCCGUCUCAA